rnacentral:misc_RNA from 1 species
UUGUUAUCCUUCUAUCUGGAAAACUGAGUCUAAAUGGGAUGUGUGGAAAGCAGUUAUGUUAUUAAGCUUUUGACUUUACUUUAGUUCUCCGAGGUUUUUUUUGUCCAAUUUAAUUUUGACUCCCUUCUCUUUACUGCUCUUCAACAACCAAUAAACAUGCAAUGACAUAUACGCUAUAGCUAUACUAGAACUUCCAGCCUUCCAAGUUAUAGUUUCUUUAGCAAGCUAAAUCACAAUAAUGCUUUUUUUCUUGGUUCUUGACAUCUUGUUCUUGACAUUUUUCAUGCAGGUAAAAUAUUAUCUACUUUAA